GUCUAUGGCCACUCCACCCUGAACAUGCCCAAUCUCGUCUGAUCUCAGAAGCUAAGCAGUGUUGGGCCUAGUUAGUACUUGGAUGGGAGACUACCUUGUAAUACCAGGUGCUGUAGGUG
rnacentral:rRNA from 1 species